CCCAGCGGAAAAACCCGGAAAAACCCCCCCCCUCGAGGCCUCACUUGGGGGGCGCCAAACGGAGCCCGAGACCCCCCAAAAACCACUUGUGGGGCAGCCAAUGGACCUUGAGACCCCCCCCAAAAAACCACUUGUGGGGCAGCAAACGGAGCCUGAGAGCCCUAAAAAGUCACUUAUGGGGCAGAAGAUGAAAUCUGAGGCCCCAAAAAGUCACUUGUGGGGCAGGAAACGGAAUCUGAGACCCCAAAAACGUCACUUGUGGGGCAGAAAAUGGAGUUUAAGACCCCUACAAAGUCACUUAUGGGGCAGAAAACGGACUCAAAAAGCCCCAAAAAGUCACUUAUGGGGCAGAAAAUGGACUCAGAAAGCCCCAAAAUGUCACUUGUGGGGCAGGAAACGGAGUUUGAGACCCCCAAAAAACCACUUGUGGGGCAGCAAAUGGAGCCUGAGAGGCCCCUGAAAAGUCACUUGUGGGGCAGAAAAUGGACUCAGAAACCCC